GCCAGGUGCAGUUGCGCAUGCCUGUAAUCCCAGCGGCUCUGGAGGCUGAGGCAGGAGGAUUGUGAGUUCAAAGCCACCCUCAGCAACUUAGCGAGGCCCUAAGCAACUCAGUGAGACCCUGUCUUUA
rnacentral:sRNA from 1 species